AUAGUACUCCCUCCGUCCCAAAUUUUUUGUCUUAGAUUUGUUUAAAUAUGGAUGUAUCUAGUUGUGUUUUAGUGUUAGAUACAUCUAUAUCUAGACAAAUGUAAGACGAGAAUUUUAGGACGGAGGGAGUACUUA
rnacentral:pre_miRNA from 1 species